AUUAAAAACCAAUGCCCUUCGGGGCUCCUUGGUGAUUCAUGAUAACUUCGCGAAUCGCAUGGCCUUGCGCCGGCGAUGGUUCAUCCAAAUUUCUUCCCUAUCAACUUUCGAUGUUUGGGUAUUGGCCAAACAUGGUUGCAACGGGUAACGGAGGGUUAGGGCUCGACCCCGGAGAAGGAGCCUGAGAAACGGCUACUACAUCCAAGGAAGGCAGCAGGCGCGCAAAUUACCCAAUCCCGACACGGGGAGGUAGUGACAAUAAAUAACAAUAUAGGGCCCUUUUGGGUCUUAUAAUUGGAAUGAGUACAAUUUAAAUCCCUUAACGAGGAACAAUUGGAGGGCAAGUCUGGUGCCAGCAGCCGCGGUAAUUCCAGCUCCAAUAGCGUAUAUUAAAGUUGUUGCAGUUAAAAAGCUCGUAGUUGAACUUCAGACCUGGCUGGAUGGUCUGCCUAACGGUAUGUACUGUCCGGCUGGGCCUUACCUCUUGGUGAGCCGGCAUGCCCUUCACUGGGUGUGUU
rnacentral:rRNA from 1 species